AAUGGGAUGUCUGAUUAAAGUAGUAAAUUGUAAAUUUAUUUAAGGUUUUUACCUCUCAUUA
rnacentral:tRNA from 1 species